CCUGAAUAAACCUCAUUUUUAAACAUACAAAAAAUAAAUAAACAAAGGCAAAUAAAUAAAAGUACAAUAAAUAUAUCCAGCUAUAGAUUUCAUGACUUUAUGGAUUUCCCUUUUAAACUCUUUUUUACGUUCUGUACGUAAGCUGUGAAUAUUAUUCAUAUUAGGGCUUAUUCACUAAGCAAUGAACAGUCAUCAGGCAACAAACACAUAGGAUUAAAUACAUAUGAAACGUUCACCUCAAGCUACAAUACCCUCUAUAGCGCUCAACAUAUAAUGUAUCAUAGAGGUCAAUUAUAGAUUAGUUAUUUUAAGAGCUUCUUUGAUUUUAAUAACCUCGAAUAGUUCUGUCCUGCUCCUGCCCAUCUCUUUGGUCUUGUCUGGGUGCACUUUCUCAAUCCUAAACCUUUUCCAUGCCACCAACACAUUGGCUUUAUCCCUGUCAGAACGGAGUAACAUUCAUCUCACACUUAUUGGAAUAACUUCCUGUAGGAGGGUUCUCCUGCUCUACCAGUCACUCAAUUGUCACAAAGACUUCUAUGCAGACAACUGAUUGACAGGAUUUUUUUAUUUUUAUUUUAUAUGACAGGAGGUGAGGGGUUGGUCCAUGUGUCCAUGAUGCCAAUGUGCCUGCCCACAAAGUGGGGCAUCAUUCCAGGGCACAUCUGCAUCAGGAUGACAGUGUUUCCAACAGGACGGAUAUUCAUGGCUGCCCAUCUGCCGGGCACUGUCGACGUGUUUGCAUAUGGGCUUAAAUGUUGUGAAAAUGAUUAAAAGUGCAGCACGAGCAGGAAUAAUCGCGUGCUCACGCUAUAAUUUCUAUCAGUACUCUCAAAACCAGUUUCAAGUGCCAAUCUGUCAGGUGAUCGGGAAGGCAAAAAUCAUGUCAGCUCUUCAUUAGUUGACUGUUAAUGGAGGUUGGAACACUCUGGGGGACAAAAUGCAGAACAGUAACAAGAUAAUGCAAUUCUGAAUUUAAGCAGAACGAGCUGGUUUUCCAGCUGGGGGACUAUGGUCUUCCUCUAACUUCACUAAGUUAUGGAACAAUAUUGAAGUGAAAUCUGAUAAACAAUUUCAUAUUCUCCAACUUACCUAAAAUGACGAGAAAGUUACCAAAAUAAG